rnacentral:lncRNA from 1 species
GAGGUCACCGACGUCAACUAGGGGCCUUCCUUCAAUGGGCAAAGGCCAACUGCCCUUUUACAGUUUCUCUCCUUUUGACGGGCUCAGGAGACAACCCUUACAGAUCCUUUCUCUCCUCUCUUUACAACUCAAGACUUGAAGAACAGAAAAGAGGAGAACUUUAGGACUUUACACAAAUUUGAGCUCUUAGAAUCACUGAAAAGAUCAAGAAUUCGGUGUGGAUCUGUAUCUUUUCAGUGCUGAAUGGGUGGGGUAUUUGUAGGCCCCAACCCAAUUCAAAUUUGGAGCUCAAAAUGAUCAAAUCCCGGAAUUCCGGGAUCGGGCGG